UACGACGACAUCAUUUUGAAACCCCGGUUCCCGUAUGAUCACAAAAGUUAAGCAACGUUGAGCCUUGUCAGUACCAAGAUGGAUGACCACCUGAGAAUACCAGCCGCUGUAA